rnacentral:rRNA from 1 species
AUACGUAGGUGACAAGCGUUAUCCGGAUUUACUGGGCGUAAAGGGCGUGUAGGCGGUCUUGCAAGUCAGAAGUGAAAUUCCUGAGCUCAACUCGGGCGCUGCUUCUGAAACUGCAGGACUUGAGUGCUGGAGGGGAUAGCGGAAUUCCUAGUGGAGCGGUAAAAUGCGCAGAUAUUAGGAAGAACACAGGUGGCGAAGGCGGCUAUCUGGACAGUAACGGACGCUGAGGCGCGCAAGCCUGGGGAGCAAACAGGAUUAUAUACCCUGGUAGUCCACGCUGUAGACGAGGAAUGCUAGGUGUAAGAGGUAUCGACCCCUUUUGUGCCGGAGUCAACACAAUAAGCAUUCCGCCUGGGGAGUACGGCCGCAAGGUUGAAACUCAAAUGAAUUGACGGGG